rnacentral:misc_RNA from 1 species
GAUGAAGAACGUAGCGAAAUGCGAUACUUGGUGUGAAUUGCAGAAUCCCGUGAACCAUCGAGUCUUUGAACGCAAGUUGCGCCCGAAGCCAUUAGGCCGAGGGCACGCCUGCCUGGGCGUCACACGUCGUUGCCCCCCCAUCUACUCCUUCGGGAUUGCGGGUGGCGGAUGAUGGCCUCCCGUGCGCCUCGCCGCGCGGUUGGCAUAAAUGCCAAGUCCUCGGCGACGCACGCCACGACAAUCGGUGGUUGCGAAACCUCGGUUGCCCGUCGUGUGCGGUCGUCGCGCAUCGAGGGCUCGAAAAAAUUGCCGGGUUCCGGCUCGGCUUUCAACGCGACCCCAGGUCAGGCGGGGUUACCCACUGAAUUUAAGCAUAUCAAUAAGCGGAGGA